AGCGAACGCUGGCGGCAGGCCUAACACAUGCAAGUCGAACGAACUCUUCGGAGUUAGUGGCGGACGGGUGAGUAACACGUGGGAACGUGCCUUUUGGUUCGGAAUAACUCAGGGAAACUUGUGCUAAUACCGAAUGUGCCCUUCGGGGGAAAGAUUUAUCGCCAUUAGAGCGGCCCGCGUCUGAUUAGCUAGUUGGUGAGGUAACGGCUCACCAAGGCGACGAUCAGUAGCUGGUCUGAGAGGAUGACCAGCCACACUGGGACUGAGACACGGCCCAGACUCCUACGGGAGGCAGCAGUGGGGAAUCUUGCGCAAUGGGCGAAAGCCUGACGCAGCCAUGCCGCGUGAAUGAUGAAGGUCUUAGGAUUGUAGAAUUCUUUCACCGGGGACGAUAAUGACGGUACCCGGAGAAGAAGCCCCGGCUAACUUCGUG
rnacentral:rRNA from 1 species